AUUGAACGCUGGCGGCAGGCUUAACACAUGCAAGUCGAGCGGUAACAGGGAGCUUGCUCCGCUGACGAGUGGCGAACGGGUGAGUAAUGCGUCGGAACGUGCCGAGUAGUGGGGGAUAACGCAGCGAAAGGUGUGCUAAUACCGCAUACGUACUGAGGUAGCAAGUGGGGGACCUUCGGGCCUCACGCUAUUCGAGCGGCCGACGUCGGAUGAGCUAGUAGGUGAGGUAAAGGCUCACCGAGGCGACGAUAAGUAGCGGGUCUGAGAGGAUAAUCCGCCACACUGGGACUGAGACACGGCCCAGACUCCUACGGGAGGCAGCAGUGGGGAAUUUUGGACAAUGGGCGAAAGCCUGAUCCAGCCAUGCCGCGUGUCUGAAGAAGGCCUUCGGGUUGUAAAGGACUUUUGUCGGGGAGGAAAUCCCCAGGGUUAAUACCCUGGGGUCAUGACGGUACCGUAAGAAUAAGCACCGGCUAACUACGUGCCAGCCGCCGCCGUAACAC
rnacentral:rRNA from 1 species